UAUAUAGGAAUUGUAUACUAUGAGACCAUUUAUAUUUAGUGUAUGGAGGUCACAGCUACUCCUAGCCAUUAGAUGUCAAAUUGAUGGCUUGAGGGUUGUCACAAAGUUCAAGAAAUUUUUUUUUGAACUUUGAGUCUUGUCAAUGACACACUCACAACCGCCCAAUAUAAAAUCUGACAAACCUACUUGUAUUAAAAAUACAUGGUGUCUUUUGUAUUCAUUUUCAUGUGUAUAUAUAUAUGAAAAAGCAUAGAAAGAGACUAUUUAUGUUUAAUACAAAGAGGUCACAAUCACUCUUGUCCGUCACAUUUCAAAUCGGGUAGUUGGGAGUGCGUCAUUGACUAGACUUAAACUUUAGAAGAAAAUUUUCUAAAACUUUGUGACAUGCCCCUGGCGAUUCACUUUGACAUCUAAUGGAUGGUAGCAAUUAUGACCUCCUUGUAACGAAGACAAAUGUUCUCAUAGUCAACAGUCCCUAGUAUA
rnacentral:pre_miRNA from 1 species